UGGUUCUCCGAGUUACUUCAUGGCAAGAUUUUGUGCCCAUUGUGGCAGAGGAUUCCUCUGUAUCAACCAUUGUUUAGGAGAAGUAGAGUUUAGAGUAGAUCGAAACCAGAAAACCUAGAUUUAGGUUUAAUGCUCUGAUACCAUGUCAAGAACCUUAGAAGUUAUAAAAGGGUUUCUUAUUUUGAUUCAUCGUCAAGGCAAUGCCUUAAAUACAAAGAUAUAUGUUACACAAACUAUGUUAACCUAAUGACGUUAACAAUAUACAUCG
rnacentral:lncRNA from 1 species